rnacentral:rRNA from 1 species
CCUACGGGGGGCAGCAGUGGGGAAUAUUGGGCAAUGGGCGCAAGCCUGACCCAGCAACGCCGCGUGAAGGAAGAAGGCUUUCGGGUUGUAAACUUCUUUUCUCAGGGACGAAGCAAGUGACGGUACCUGAGGAAUAAGCCACGGCUAACUACGUGCCAGCAGCCGCGGUAAUACGUAGGUGGCAAGCGUUAUCCGGAUUUACUGGGUGUAAAGGGUGUGUAGGCGGGAAAGCAAGUCAGAUGUGAAAACCAUGGGCUCAACCUGUGGCCUGCAUUUGAAACUGUUUUUCUUGAGUACUGGAGAGGCAGACGGAAUUCCUGGUGUAGCGGUGAAAUGCGUAGAGAUUAGGAGGAACACCAGUGGCGAAGGCAGUCUGCUAGACAACAACUGACGCUGAGGCGCGAAAGCGUGGGGAGCAAACAGGAUUAGAUACCCGAGUAGUC